AGCACCUUUGUUCUCCUUCGGCGGGGCAACCUGCCGCUGGAACUUAAUAAAACCUUUUUUGCAUCUAGCAUUACCUGUUCUGAUACAAAUAAUCGUUACAACUUUCAACAAUGGAUCUCUUGGCUCUGGCAUCGAUGAAGAACGCAGCGAAAUGCGAUAAGUAGUGUGAAUUGCAGAAUUCAGUGAAUCAUCGAAUCUUUGAACGCACAUUGCGCCCCUCGGUAUUCCGUGGGGCAUGCCUGUUCGAGCGUCAUCUACACCCUCAAGCUCUGCUUGGUGUUGGGCGUCUGUCCCGCCUCUGCGCGCGGACUCGCCCCAAAUUCAUUGGCAGCGGUCUUUGCCUCCUCUCGCGCAGCACAAUUGCGUCUGCGAGGGGGCGUGGCCCGCAUCCACGAAGCAACAUUACCGUCUUUGACCUCGGAUCAGGUAGGGAUACCCGCUGAACUUAAGCAUAUCAU
rnacentral:rRNA from 1 species